rnacentral:lncRNA from 1 species
GUCAACCACAUAUCAUGCACUGUCACAUUCAGAGCACAUACAGGUUUUACACAAGUGCACAGCUGGUUCCUUAAGUGUCUGCCAUGAAACAUUACUUGUGCCGGACCAUCCUCUAUUUGCUGAUCUUCGCAGUUCUCAUUAUCACUCCGGAUGCUCAGAGUGACUCUGAGUGUUCCACAGAAAUCAGAGUACGUCUCAACACAGUUCAUAAUGCCUCAGUUGGACAACAAUUUAGGAUUAAUUGCACAGUUAUUUUUUGCAAUGAUUCACCACCAACAGUCUCCUGGUAUAAAGUUGAGGAAACUGGUGUCCCCGUCAAUGUCAGCAGUGACAGUCACAUUAAAACAGAGUGGAAACAUUUAAACAAGUCAGCAGGGAUCUUCUAUUUGAUCUUCCAAAGCAUUGUCAGAAGUGACUCUGGUCAGUAUCAGUGUCAAGAUGGACCGACUAUGGGUCAUGCCAUCACUGUCAAUGUCUAUGAUAAUGUGAAGCUCACCACAGCUUCGUGGACAACUUUGGCACCAGUGAAUACAACUUCUGCUGACACUUUCUGGCCAGUCAUAUACCGUGUUGUUGGGAGCGUGGUGUUUGUCACCGUAAUAAUAUUAAUAUGUGUUACAUCAAAGCGAGGGUGCAAAGGUGAGAUGUUUGGGUUUGUACAUAAGAGUAAGUGGUUGUGCUGCUGAAAGGAUAAAGUUUAAACCGACAAAUAGUAAAAAACAAAACAAAAAAAAAACAUUAAUUAAUUAAACUUGCACAUUAAGUUAAUACUUAUGUCAUGCUGUGCACAUUCACUAUCAUGAUCCUGAGAAGAUUAACUGACUUCCUUUCAUCUGUGUUAUCCAGGAAAACCGAGGAAGACAACAAAACCAAGUCAGGAGCUCUACACUCAUAUCUAUGACAAUGAUGUAUGAUGACGAUCCUCAUGUCUGAAAUGCUCUGAAAUCAGUCUGUGAAGCUCAGUUUAUUAUAAUCAGCAUAUUUUACUGAUGUGUGAGCUAAGUCUUGCUACAAUUUAUUCUUUAAAUCUACUGGCUUCUCACUGGUGUGUGUUACCGUGUACCCAGUUUAGCAUUUUUUGAAUUCCUGUAAAUCAAUUCAAACUGUAGAAGUGAGAUUUCCUACUUGAGAAACCACUAUUGUUUAGUCUGCAAAGACUGCGGGUGCAUGUAUGUGUGUGCGUAAGUGUGCACGUGUGUACGUGCGUGUGUGUGGUGUAUGACACAUUGGAAAGGUAAUAGUUUUGCUUCCUGUACAGGUAACAGUUUUGCACACAUCCUGUGCAAAUAGGACCUUUGACUGUAUUUAUGAUUGAAUUAGUGUGUUUGCAUCGCUGCUCUCUGUCGUUUAUGAUUAAAGAAGCUUUUCUUCUUUGGUCUUUGAGUGUCUUUGCAUUUGGGAGCAGGAAGUAGAAUUGAACCACACACCACAUGAGCAUAUGUGAAGACAACGGCUCAAAUGGUUUUACAGAAGAAGAAAAGGAAGAUGUAACUCAUAAAGUUAUCCUUCCACUCAUUAUCCC